rnacentral:rRNA from 1 species
UCCUUAGACGUUCUGGGCCGCACGCGCGCUACACUGACCGGUGCAACAAGCAUCCGUCCUUGGCCGACAGGCCCGGGCAAUCUUUGAACGCCGGUCGUGAUGGGGAUAGACUUUUGCAAUUUUUGGUCUUCAACGAGGAAUUCCUAGUAAACGCAAGUCAUCAACUUGCAUUGAUUACGUCCCUGCCCUUUGUACACACCGCCCGUCGCACCUACCGAUUGAAUGGUCCGGUGAAGCCUCCGGAUUGGCGCGCACCUCGGUGCCGCCGAGAAGUUGGCUAAACCUUACCAUUUAGAGGAAGGUGAAGUCGUAACA